rnacentral:rRNA from 1 species
AUUGAACGCUGGCGGCAGGCCUAACACAUGCAAGUCGAGCGAGCGGCGGACGGGUGAGUAAUGUCUGGGGAUCUGCCUGAUAGAGGGGGAUAACUACUGGAAACGGUAGCUAAUACCGCAUACUAUCGGAUGAGCCCAUAUGGGAUUAGCUAGUUGGUGGGGUAAAGGCCAACCAAGGCGACGAUCCCUAGCUGGUCUGAGAGGAUGAUCAGCCACACGGGAACUGAGACACGGUCCAUACUCCUACGGGAGGCAGCAGUGGGGAAUCUUCGGCAAUGGGCGAAAGUCUGACCGAGCAACGCCGCGUGUGUGAAGAAGGUUUUCGGAUCGUAAAGCACUGUUGGUUGGGAAGCGUUAUCUAACCAAUAAGCCCCGGCUAACUCCGUGCCAGCAGCCGCGGUAAUAC